AGUGAACGCUGGCGGUAGGCCUAACACAUGCAAGUCGAACGGCAGCACAGUAAGAGCUUGCUCUUACGGGUGGCGAGUGGCGGACGGGUGAGGAAUACAUCGGAAUCUACUUUUUCGUGGGGGAUAACGUAGGGAAACUUACGCUAAUACCGCAUACGACCUACGGGUGAAAGCAGGGGAUCUUCGGACCUUGCGCGAUUGAAUGAGCCGAUGUCGGAUUAGCUAGUUGGCGGGGAAAAGGCCCACCAAGGCGACGAUCCGUAGCUGGUCUGAGAGGAUGAUCAGCCACACGGGAACUGAAACACGGUCCAGACCCCUACGGGAGGCAGCAGUGGGGAAUAUUGGACAAUGGGGGCAAGCCUGAUCCAGCCAUACCGCGUGGGUGAAGAAGGCCUUCGGGUUGUAAAGCCCUUUUGUUGGGAAAGAAAAGCAGCAGGUUAAUACCCCGCUGUUCUGACGGUACCCAAAGAAUAAGCACCGGCUAACUUCGUG
rnacentral:rRNA from 1 species